rnacentral:misc_RNA from 1 species
AAGUCGUAACAAGGUUUCCGUAGGUGAACCUGCGGAAGGAUCAUUACCGAAGUCAAGGCCCCUUUGGGGGCUAAACUUCCACCCUUUGUUUACCUUACCAUUGUUGCUUUGGCGGGCCGCCUUAGGCCACCGGCUCUCGAGCUGGUGCGUGCCCGCCAGAGACCCCCAAACCCAAACCAUAUUUAGUGUCGUCUGAAAACAAGUUUAAAUUAUUAAAACUUUCAACAACGGAUCUCUUGGCUCUG